rnacentral:rRNA from 1 species
UACGUAGGUGGCAAGCGUUGUCCGGAAUCACUGGGCGUAAAGCGCGCGCAGGCGGCGAUCUACGUCUGGGGUGAAAGCCCGGAGCUCAACUCCGGGACUGCCUUGGAUACGGGAUCGCUUGAGGAUUGGAGAGGCAAGGGGAAUUCCAAGUGUAGCGGUGAGAUGCGUAGAGAUGUGGAGGAACACCUGUGGCGAAGGCGCCUUGCUGGCCAAUUACUGACGCUGAGGCGCGAAAGCGUGGGGAGCAAACAGG